rnacentral:rRNA from 1 species
UACAGAGGGUGCGAGCGUUAAUCGGAAUUACUGGGCGUAAAGCGUGUGUAGACGGUUUCGUAAGUCGGGUGUGAAAUCCCCGGGCUCAACCUGGGAAUUGCAUUCGAAACUGCGAGGCUAGGGUACGGAAGAGGGAAGCGGAAUUUCUGGUGUAGCGGUGAAAUGCGUAGAUAUCAGAAGGAACAUCAGUGGCGAAAGCGGCUUCCUGGUCCAGUACCGACGUUCAGGCACGAAAGCGUGGGGAGCAAACAGG